GACGUAGGGCGCAAGCGUUGUCCGGAUUUACUGGGCGUAAAGGGCGCGUAGGCGGCCGCCUAAGUCAGACGUGAAAUCCCUCGGCUCAACCGGGGAACUGCGUCUGAUACUGGGUGGCUUGAAUCCGGGAGAGGGAUGCGGAAUUCCGAGGUGUAGCGGUGAAAUGCGCAGAUAUCAGGAGGAACACCGAUGGCGAAGGCAGGAUCUCUGGGCAUUAACUGACGCUGAGGAGCGAAAGCAUGGGGAGCGAACAGG
rnacentral:rRNA from 1 species